GUGCCAGCAGCCGCGGUAAUACGUAGGGUGCGAGCGUUAAUCGGAAUUACUGGGCGUAAAGCGAGCGCAGACGGUUAAAUAAGUCAGAUGUGAAAUCCCCGAGCUCAACUUGGGACGUGCAUUUGAAACUGUGUAACUAGAGUGUGUCAGAGGGAGGUAGAAUUCCACGUGUAGCAGUGAAAUGCGUAGAGAUGUGGAGGAAUACCGAUGGCGAAGGCAGGUCUCUGGGCUGUUACUGACGCUGAGGAGCGAAAGCGUGGGGAGCGAACAGGAUUAGAUACCCUGGUAGUCCACGCCCUAAACGAUGACAAUUAGCUGUUGGGGUACUAGUUACCUUAGUAGCGAAGCUAACGCGUGAAAUUGUCCGCCUGGGGAGUACGGUCGCAAGAUUAAAACUCAAAGGAAUUGACGGGGACCCGCACAAGCGGUGGAUGAUGUGGAUUAA
rnacentral:rRNA from 1 species